rnacentral:sRNA from 1 species
GCCAGGUGUGGUGGCACACGCCUAUAAUCCCAGUGGCUUGGGAGGCUGAGACAGGAGGAUCACAAGUUCAAAGCCAGCCUCAGCAAAAGCAAGGCACUAAGCAAUUCAGUGAGACCCUGUCUCUA